UACGUAGGGUGCGAGCGUUGCCCCGGAUUUAUUGGGCGUAAAGGGCGCGUAGGCGGCCUGGCGCGUCGGCUGUGAAAAUCUCCCCGGCUCAACUGGGGAGGGGGACGGCCGAUACGGCUGGGCUUGAGCGAGGUAGGGGGAGAGUGGAAUUCCCCGGUGUAGUGGUGGAAUGCGUAGAUAUCGGGGAGGAACACCAGUGGCGAAAGGCGGCUCUCUGGACCUCUGCUGACGCUGAGGGCGCGAAAAGCGUGGGGG
rnacentral:rRNA from 1 species